rnacentral:rRNA from 1 species
CUUCCCUCGGGCGGGGGAUAACAUUCCGAAAGGAGUGCUAAUACCGCAUAAGACCACGACUCCGAAAGGAGUUGAGGUAAAAGCCGGCCUCUAUACAUAAGCUGGCACCUGAGUUCGAUGAGUCCGCGUCCCAUCAGCUAGUUGGUAGGGUAAUGGCCUACCAAGGCUAAGACGGGUAGCUGGUCUGAGAGGAUGGCCAGCCACAUUGGGACUGAGACACGGCCCAG